CAGGGAGAUGCCAUGUAGAACAUAAAGAGGCAGAGAUCACGGAGAUGCAUCUACAAGCCAACGAACACCAAAGAUUGCAUCAAACCACCAGCAGCUAGGAGAGAGGCGUAGAACAGGUCCUCCCUCACUGCCCUCAGGAGGAACCAACCCUGCCAGCUACUUGGUCUCGGACUUCCAGCUGCCAGAACUGUGAGAUCAGAGAUCUCUGUUGGUUAAGCCACCCAGAUUGCCAUACUUUGUUAUGGCAGCCCUAGCAGGCUACUAGAGGCUUCAACCUGAAGUUAGCAAGACCGAGCAGAUGAGAGUGGAGAAUGGGUGUUGCUUGGGAAGUGCCCAGGGCUGGCUUGUUUGCAUGGAGACUUGAGGAACCAUUCACAAUUCCUGGGGAUUCACACAUAAAGAAAGAACAUCAGCAGAUCCCUGAGGAAGUUGCAAGACCCUAAUGAAGAAGCGGCUGUAUCAUAUCACCUGCCAGAUGGGGCUUAGGCAGCCUCCCAGAGCUUCCUACACCGAAGAAUCACACAGGAGCAGCAGAGCCAUCCCUGAGUGCCCAUGGGUAGCAUAGUAGCGGGAGAAGGAAACACAAGCUCUUGAAUUGCUCACUGAGCACAGGGUUGAGCAUGGGGUGCCCUGGCAGUUGCCUGCCUAACCAGAUGACAUGACAUCCCAUCCACUGUGCCUCGACACCAGGAAACCACAAACUCUGAAGCUCUGACUCCCCUUUCAGUGUCGCCCCAAGAGCCCACACUUUUGAAGGAAUAACCUCCCUGGUGAGAUGCACCAUGUCCCUGAGGGUGUGGUGGAGUUGUGACCCAGACCCUAAAGCCAAGGAAAAAUCUCUGAACAUACAACAUUCAACAAGGACAAGGACAGGGAAUGAAAGAAGUUCUGACGUUGGACAGACACAAUUCCAAAAGUGGCAUGGCUUGAUGGAUGAAGGCUCAACUUUGGGGCUGGAGAGACCUCGGUCCUAACUCUGUGCCAUCCAUGGUGGUGGAAAUCCCUGAGUCUCAGUUUCUUCAUGUGUAAAAUGGGAUAAUAAUACUUACCUAAAACAUUUGUCAUGGGAUAGUAAUACUUACCUAAAGCACUUUGUAUGGGGCCUGGUACACAGAACAUGCUCGAAAGUGAAGGCAGACAGAAACAUGAACAUUCCACGUAUGCUGAGUGACACAGAAACCCAAGCCCGAGGUUACUACCAAACACAGUUCCGCUUUGCCCUAAAUUGGCCAAAGCUCCCUCGAGGAAAGGCUAAAGCCUUAGCUUGCCUGCAAAAGCUGAGGAGGAGAAGCCAAGCAGAAGGGGCUCACUGUCUACGAAGACUUACAAACCCACGGUGGCAGGAAUGGAGCCUGGGUCCUUCUCUCCCAAGAAGACCUGAGCCCUGGGACUUGAGAAACACCAAGUGUAAGACAUCAUCAACCCCCAGGUGUUCUGAAGCCCCACUCCUUUUCUCUUUCUUGACCAUUGUGGCUGAAUGUGAAUCCCCACCUUUCCUGCCCUCCUGGGGACCUUAGGAAUUCUGCUCCUCACUGCAGGUGAGUCACAUCAGUAUCUAGAACACACAUUGCCAUUGCCUGCCCCAUCCUAGCACAGAGACUUCCCAGCCAUCCUUCAAUGCCAGCUCUCCGUGAACUUACCCCCAUCUCUUCACAGCAGAAUGGCUCAACAGGCAGGCCCACUCCAUGGUUAGGUCACCAACCAUGCUGGGUAACAGAAGAAGAGGCAGAGAAUGAACAUGGGAGAGAGAAAAGAAAUUUUUAGCCAGGUGCGGUGGCUCACGCUGUAACCCAGCACUUUGAGAGGCCAAGGCGGGUGGAUCACUUGAGGUCAGGAGUUCAAGACCAGCCUGACCAAUAUGGUAAAACCCUGUCUCUACCAAAAAUACAAAAAAUCGGCUAAGCGUGGUGGCAGGUGCCUGUAAUCCCAGCUAUUCAGGAGGAUGAGGCAGGAGAAUCGCUUGAACCCGGGAAGCGGAGGUUGCAGUGAGCCUAAAUCGUGCCACUGCACUCUAGCCUGGGUGACAGAGUGAGAUUCUGCCUAAAAAAAAAAAAAAAAGAAAAAGAAGAAAUUUUAAAAAUAAUUUGACAUUUGAUUAAUUGUUUAAAGCAUCAAAGUAUAAAAUAAAUAUCCAUGUAUCCAUACUGGUAUCAAUAAAUAAUUGAAUAAAUAAAUAAAUGUGGGAGAAAGGACAGCUUUUCCUUACAGAAGAAUUCAAAGCAAAUAAAUGUAUUAAUAAUUAAGAAAAUAGAAAAUCAUCAUUAGCCGUGUGCAGUGGCUCACACCUGUAAUCUCAACACUUUGGGAGGCUGAGGCGAGCAGACUGACUGACCUCAGGUGUUCGAGACCAGCCUGGACAACAUGGUGAAAACCCGUCUCUACUAAACUACAAAGAAUUAGCCGGGCAUGGCGGGGUGUGCCUGUAAUCCCAGCUACUUGGGAGGCUGAUACAGGAGAAUCACCUGAACAUGGGAGGCGGAGGUUGCAGUUAGCUGAGAUUGCAUCACUGCACUCCAGCCUGGGAGACAGAGCAAGACUCCAUCUCAAAAAAAAAAAAAAAAAAGUCAAGAUUGUGAGAGAUAAGGGAAGACUGAGUAACUGUCACAGGUUGGAGCUGAGUAAGGACAUAUGACAACAAAAUGCAGUGCAGAAUCCUGGAUUGGAUAUAGAAACAGGAAAAGAACAUUAGUGAAAAUAUUAGUUAAGCCUGAACAAAGUCAGUCAUCUAGUUAAUAGUAUUGUAUGUGUGUUAAUUCUGAAUUUUAAUCAUGUACUAUAGUUAUGCAACAUGUUAGCAUUAAGGAAAGCUACGUGAAGCAUUUAGGAAAACUCAAUAUUAUUUUUACAGCUUUUCUGUAUGUCUGAAAUUAUGUCAAAAUAAAAUAUAUUUUUCUUAAAAAAAUCAGGGGCCGUGCACAGUGGCUCACACCUGUAAUCACAGCACUUUGGGAGGUUGAGGCAGGAGGAUCAGUUAAGCUCAGGAGUUUGAGAGCAGCCUGGCCAACAUGGUGAAACCACAUCUCUACUAAAAAUACAAAAAUUAGCCAGGCAUGGUGGUGCAUGCCUGUAAUCCCAGCUACGCAGGAGGCUGAGGCAGGAGAAUUGCUUGAACCUGAAGGCGGAGGUUGCAGUCAGCCAAGAUUGCACCACUGCACUCCAGCCUGGACAACAGAGUAAGCUCAGUCUCUGGAAAAGAAAAAAAAAAGCAUUGGAGUAGUGGGACCAUCGUGGGUUUCCCUGCAUUAGUUGAAUGCUUGCAUCAGUUGAAUGGUUUGGUAUUGUUUCUAUUGCGAAUUCCAUAUUGGGGUUUGGGGGAGAUAGGAUGAGGCACC
rnacentral:lncRNA from 1 species